AUUUUUUUGUGCACAAGAAGGGAUGAUUUUUUUUAUUUUUUAAUCUAUUUUUAUUUUCUGAAAUUGUGUUGGGAUUGAAAUUAGGGUUUCGAGGAUAACAACGGCACGACGAGAUGAAGUGCGAUGGAUUUGGACUCGAUGAAGGAGGAUCCGUACGACAUCAACGUGGCCAUAACGAAGGAGAAGCUCGAUGUUGACAAUGGGUGGAGGCGACGCGGAGAACGGGAGUCACCUUUCCGAUCUCGGCAGCGCGAUCAAGGUACGUAUAGAGUAAUAACUCUAUUACCACUUCUUUCAUUAUUAUUACGUAUAAUUUAUUUACUAUUUUAAGUUUUGCUACAUUUGUAUAUAUCUAUUUUAUAUUUUUUAUUUAUAUUUAUUAAUGUUUCAUAGCAAGUUAAAAAAUUUUAAAAAUUUUAACUUGGUCAAUCUUUUAUCUUCUAUCACAAUAGCCCGCCGCGAUAGAAAGAAUAUUCUUUCAUACUUUUUUUUUUUUUUGUGAANNNNNNNNNNNNNNNNNNNNNNNNNNNNNNNNNNNNNNNNNNNNNNNNNNNNNNNNNNNNNNNNNNNNNNNNUAUAUAUAUAUAUAUAUAUAUAGAAAGAGAGAGAGAGAGAGCUAGGCUGGUAUACUAUCGGUAGUAUGGAGGCCUCCGUGCUAUCAAGUUGUUUUCAGUGAUGCGGCUUCCAAAUCAACGAUCGACUCCAUUAGAUUUGAUCUACACUAUUAAAAGCAAUUGGAAACUAAAUUUUGUAAUUUUUUAACAUCAUUUGACUAGUGAUUAAAAGGUCUCAAAAUUAACAAUUUUAAUGGUAGAUAUGAUGUGUUUGUGAAUUUAACGGUGUAAAACAAUUCAAAUCUGAUAAAAUUUUUAUAGAAAAUUCUCUUCACUAUUUAGAGUAAAAUUAGUACCUCUGAUUUUAAAUUCAAGUCUUUUAUCAUCAUUUUUAUGAGAUUUUUAUUUUCAGCCAUUCAUUUUUAGACUACUCGUUCGAUAGGUAAAUAACACCAAAAAAUUAUAAAAUUUAGGCUCCAGAUGCUUUUAAUGGUGUAGAUCAAGUCUAACGGAGCCGAUCGUCGAUUUGGAAGCCGUAUCAUUGAAAACAACUUGAUAGCAUAGAGGCCUCCGUAUUACCGAUAGUAUACCAACCUAGCGCUCUCUCUCUCUCUCUCUCUCUCUCUCUCUCCCUCUCUCUCUCUCUCUCUCUCUCUCUCUCUCUCUCUAUAUAUAUAUAUAUAUAUAUAUAUAUAGAAUUAGGCUACUAUGCUAUCUAUAGUACCGGUGCUCCGGUACUAUAGUUUUAUUUUCGAUCUUAGGGUGUUCAAAUUAACGAUCUACACUGUUAAAUAUGAUCUAGGAUAUAUGAAGUUUUUAAGAAUAAAAUUUUAGAUUUUUUCGACAUCGUUUACUAAUUAGUAAAUAAAUUAUGUCAAAGUAGACGGUGAAAAUUGAAUAUUCUUUAAAAUUUGAGGAUAGGACUUUUAAAUUUAAGAUCAAGAAUGUUAACCUUAAUCUAGAUAGUUUAAAAUAUUUUCUAUCAAAAUUUGAAGAAAUUUAGAUUUUUCUACACUGUUAAACUCCAAACUCGCCAUAGUAGCCAUUGAAAAUUGAUAAUUUUGAAAUGGUUUGAUUAUAAAGUAAACUAUAUCGAAAAAAUAUAAAAUUCUAUUUCUAAAAACUUUAAAUACCCUAGAUCAGUUUUAACAGUGUGAAUCAUUGAUUUGAAUACCCUAAGAUCGAAAAUGAGACUAUAGUACCGGAGCUCCGGUGCUACAGAUAGUAUAGGAGACAAGCUCAUAUAUAUAUAUA
rnacentral:lncRNA from 1 species